rnacentral:snoRNA from 1 species
AGCACCUAAAAGCGUUUUCUUGGUCGCUCUGAUGAAACGCGCUUGAAAAUCGUAGCUGUGUGCUAAAGCAAUUGUUUGCAGUAGCAAAAGUCUUGAUUUCUUUCAAUAAUUCAAGCCAUAAUAAACUGUACAACAAGC